ACGCUGGCGGCGUGCCUAAUACAUGCAAGUCGAACGGUCUUUUCUAUGGAAGCUUGCUUCCACUGAGAAGAUAGUGGCGAACGGGUGAGUAACACGUGGGUAACCUGCCCAUAAGAGGGGGGAUAACAUCCGGAAACGGGUGCUAAUACCGCAUAGUUUUCUUGAUUGCAUGAUUGAGAAAGGAAAGACGGCCUUUGUGCUGUCGCUUAUGGAUGGACCCGCGGCGUAUUAGUUAGUUGGUGAGGUAACGGCUCACCAAGACGAUGAUACGUAGCCGACCUGAGAGGGUGAUCGGCCACAUUGGGACUGAGACACGGCCCAAACUCCUACGGGAGGCAGCAGUAGGGAAUCUUCCGCAAUGGACGAAAGUCUGACGGAGCAACGCCGCGUGAGUGAAAGAAGGUUUUCGGAUCGUAAAACUCUGUUGUCAGAGAAGAACAAGUUGGAGAGUAACUGCUCCAGCCUUGACGGUAUCUGACCAGAAAGCCACGGCUAACUACGUGCCAGCCGCCGC
rnacentral:rRNA from 1 species